GCCUUCGUGGUGUAAUGGUCAGCACACUCGGCGCGUAUUCGAGAGGUCCGAGUUCGAGUCCCGACGAGGGCA
rfam:Stegodyphus mimosarum contig78652, whole genome shotgun sequence.